UUUUAAUUUUUGUUUGAUUCAUUAUUUUUUCUUCCUACAAUUGCUUUUGUUUGUGAUUAUUGUCAAAGAGAGAGGGAAAGAAAGUAAUUACAGAGGGAAGGAGGGGAAGAGAAGAGGGGGUCUCAAAUAAAGUUGAAA
rnacentral:ribozyme from 13 species